GAAAGACUGAAAAAUUCAUUGAUACGUGCUCCCCCCAAAAGUAUCUAAAGCUUCUAGAGACAAAGGAACCAUGCCUUGAGAAGGAGAUUGGCACAUUUGCACUGCCAGCAGGGCAGGAAAACCAUAGAGCAGCCUUCAGUUGGAAAAGCAAUUGGCUGAAAGGAAAAAUGUUCACAGGAUCUUAGCUCUUCAGAGGGACAGACACUUCAAGAAACACAGUAAAUACAAUCCAGGAGCUGCCCUUCGUUGACUUCCACUUUCCUGGCUGGAUUUUUGUUCAUGGAAUCAGUGUUUCCCAGUGCAGGAUGGGAAAACAGAGGCACAGAGUGAUGAAAUGACUUGCCCAACAUCACUCAGCACACCAGUGGCAGAGUCAAGAAUAGAAUCCAGAUCUCCUGAGCCCCAAUCCAGUGCGCUAGCAACUGUUUCUUUGUAAAACAUAGAAAUAAUGUAAUGUUAUUAAAAAGAUGAUAAUACAAUGAAGUAUAGGAAU